AUGCUGUACCAUGGCCUGUUGUGUCAGGUGACCAUACCUAUUUCUCCCAAGCAAUCUAAGGAGCCCCUUUCCCUACAGCUCAACCUGUCUACACCUGAUGGUGACAUUAGUCCUUUCAGUGAACCUGUGGUUAUUACUCCAGAGCAGCUGGACACGAGACUUAAGCCUCCACGAGAGCUCUGUGUGAUUGGCUCUACAGCUACACAGGUACGCCUGUGCUGGAUAGAACCAGAGGGAGGAGCCAAACCCAAAUCAUACCAGAUCUACUGUAAUGACACACUGGUGAAGACCACUGCUCUGCUGGGGGCUACAGUUGGCUGUUUAUCUCCUGGCACCUCCUAUCAGCUGAGUGUGAGUUCACUUGGUCCAGGGGACACAGAGAGUCCUAGAGCAGUAACUGAGGUGAGGACAGCGGAAGAUCAAGAUCAUGCUCCUUCUGCGGUCACUGUAGUUGUCCUGGGACGACAUGAACUGCAGAUAAACUGGGGAGCUCCAGUCGCUCCUUUGGGGAGACUCUUCAAAUAUGAGCUAAGUCUAAAUGGGUGUGUGGUGUACCUGGGCACAGAAAGGUCAUACACUGCUUGUCGCCUGUCUGCUAACACAGCAUACACCUGUGUUGUGACAGCUAUCACCUCCAGGGGGCGCUGCCAGAGCAGUCCGGUCACAAAGAAGACAGCACGGGAUGAAUUCCUGCACUCACAUAGGUAUCUGCACUCUCAUAGCCACCAGUCAGCCUCAAAACACUCCACUCCUUCUUCAAGCAUCCAAGUGAUAAGUGAAGUCAAAAAGAAUGACACAGUUUCUCCAGCUACACUCAAUUCUAAGGUCCAUCCCACUAUGAUCCCGCACAGAGCCCUUGACCUUAGAAAAGACAGGCACAGGCAAACAUCAGUUCCUAAAGGGAUUCAACCUUCCAGUCACACAUCUAAGGAACAUUAUGAGUACAUGUUCCGGUCCUUGACCAUAUCAUCAACCCCAGAGGAUCUCAGACACUUUAAGGCCAAGAUCAGCCCAGCCAGACCGCAGUGGAACUCAGACAGAAAAGUUCCCAUAGACAGAGAGAAACUUCCAGGCAUCAGCAAACAAAUCUCAGAGGAUGUGAGACUGCUUCAGCCUGUUUCGUUUAGUUGGUCUAAUCUGGAAUGGACCAAACAACAUCAAAACAGACCACAAAGGUACAGGCAUGAAUUGUAUAACUAGUCCAUAUUUCAUAAGGAUUGUUAAUAGAAUUUAUUUCUGAUAUAAUUUGAAACCAAUCCUAAUGGGAUCCACUAACUGCCUUCUAAGAAUCUAAUGUUUUUUAUCAGUUCUAUUAAAACAUAAAACAUAAAACAUAAUACAUAGCCUAUUUGGAAGACGAUAUCAAAUAUCAUCACAAACCAAACUCACGUAACAAAUUGUGGACAUCUAGGCUACCAAAAUCAGUGUUUAUAUUAAUACAUAUUUAUUUUAUUUGAAUAUAAAUGAAUGGAUUUAAGAUGUUUCUUUCUCAAUAAUUAACAAAAUCUCAGUAAUAAAUAUAAUAAAUGUUUUAUGUUUAAUUUAUUG
ensembl:lncRNA